CCUACGGGUGGCUGCAGUGGGGAAUAUUGGACAAUGGGCGAAAGCCUGAUCCAGCCAUGCCGCGUGUGUGAAGAAGGCCUUCGGGUUGUAAAGCACUUUCAGUGGGGAAGAAAGCCUUGGGGCUAAUACCCUCGAGGAAGGACAUCACCCACAGAAGAAGCACCGGCUAACUCCGUGCCAGCAGCCGCGGUAAUACGGAGGGUGCGAGCGUUAAUCGGAAUUACUGGGCGUAAAGCGCGCGUAGGCGGUCUGAUAAGCCGGUUGUGAAAGCCCCGGGCUCAACCUGGGAACGGCAUCCGGAACUGUCAGGCUAGAGUGCAGGAGAGGAAGGUAGAAUUCCCGGUGUAGCGGUGAAAUGCGUAGAGAUCGGGAGGAAUACCAGUGGCGAAGGCGGCCUUCUGGACUGACACUGACGCUGAGGUGCGAAAGCGUGGGUAGCAAACAGGAUUAGACACCCCUGUAGUC
rnacentral:rRNA from 1 species